rnacentral:rRNA from 1 species
UACGAAGGGGGCUAGCGUUGUUCGGAAUUACUGGGCGUAAAGCGCACGUAGGCGGAUCGAUCAGUCAGGGGUGAAAUCCCAGGGCUCAACCCUGGAACUGCCUUUGAUACUGUCGAUCUGGAGUAUGGAAGAGGUGAGUGGAAUUCCGAGUGUAGAGGUGAAAUUCGUAGAUAUUCGGAGGAACACCAGUGGCGAAGGCGGCUCACUGGUCCAUUACUGACGCUGAGGUGCGAAAGCGUGGGAGCAAACAGGG